rnacentral:rRNA from 1 species
GACGAACGCUGGCGGCGCGCUUAAUACAUGCAAGUCGAGCGAGAACCGGAGCUUCGGCUCCGGGGACAGCGGCGAACGGGUGAGUAACACGUGGGUAACCUGCCCUCGGCACCGGGAUAGCCCGGGGAAACCCGGAUUAAUACCGGAUGGCCCUUUUGGUCUUCGGACCGGUCGGCAAAGGUAGCUUCGGCCUCCGGCCGAGGAUGGGCCCGCGGCGGAUUAGCUUGUUGGUGAGGUAACGGCUCACCAAGGCUCCGAUCCGUAGCUGGUCUGAGAGGACGAUCAGCCACACUGGGACUGAGACACGGCCCAGACUCCUACGGGAGGCAGCAGUAGGGAAUCUUGCGCAAUGGGCGAAAGCCUGACGCAGCGACGCCGCGUGCGGGAAGACGGCCUUCGGGUUGUAAACCGCUUUCAGGAGGGACGAAGCCACUCGGGUGAAUAGCCCAGAGGGUGACGGUACCUCCAGAAGAAGCCCCGGCUAACUACGUGCCAGCCGCCGCCGUAA